GAUGAACGCUGGCGGCGUGCCUAAUACAUGCAAGUCGAGCGAACAGAUGAGGAGCUUGCUCCUCUGACGUUAGCGGCGGACGGGUGAGUAACACGUGGAUAACCUACCUAUAAGACUGGGAUAACUUCGGGAAACCGGAGCUAAUACCGGAUAAUAUAUUGAACCGCAUGGUUCAAUAGUGAAAGACGGUUUUGCUGUCACUUAUAGAUGGAUCCGCGCCGGAUUAGCUAGUUGGUAAGGUAACGGCUUAUCAAGGCAACGAUGCGUAGCCGACCUGAGAGGGUGAUCGGCCACACUGGAACUGAGACACGGUCCAGACUCCUACGGGAGGCAGCAGUAGGGAAUCUUCCGCAAUGGGCGAAAGCUUGACGGAGCAACGCCGCGUGAGUGAUGAAGGUCUUCGGAUCGUAAAACUCUGUUAUUAGGGAAGAACAAAUGUGUAAGUAACUAUGCACGUCUUGACGGUACCUAAUCAGAAAGCCACGGCUAACUACGUG
rnacentral:rRNA from 1 species